AUACGUAGGGGGCGAGCGUUGUCCGGAAUGAUUGGGCGUAAAGGGCGCGUAGGCGGCGCGGUAAGUCUGGAGUGAAAGUCCUGCUUUCAAGGUGGGAAUUGCUUUGGAUACUGCCGCGCUUGAGUGCAGGAGAGGUUAUCGGAAUUACCGGUGUAGCGGUGAAAUGCGUAGAGAUCGGGAGGAACACCAGUGGCGAAGGCGGGUAACUGGACUGCAACUGACGCUGAGGCGCGAAAGUGUGGGGAGCAAACAGGAUUAGAUACCCUGGUAGUCCACACUGUAAACGAUGAAUGCUAGGUGUAAGAGGUAUCGACCCCUUUUGUGCCGGAGUCAACACAAUAAGCCUUCCGCCUGGGGAGUACGGCCGCAAGGUUGAAACUCAAAGGAAUUGACGGGG
rnacentral:rRNA from 1 species